UACCAGCACCCCGAGUGGUCGGGACGUUUAUUGGGCGUAAAGCGCAUGUAGGCGGUUUGUUAAGUCUGGUGUGAAAGCUCAAGGCCUAACCUUGAAAUUGCAUUGGAAACUGGCAAACUAGAAUACUGGAGGGGUAAGUGGAAUUCCAUGUGUAGCGGUGGAAUGCGUAGAUAUAUGGAGGAACACCAAUGGCGAAGGCAGCUUACUGGACAGUUAUUGACGCUGAGAUGCGAAAGCGUGGGGAGCAAACAGG
rnacentral:rRNA from 1 species